UACGUAGGGGGCAAGCGUUGUCCGGAUUUAUUGGGCGUAAAGAGCUCGUAGGUGGUUCGGUAAGUCGGAUGUGAAAUCUCCAGGCUCAACCUGGAGGGGUCAUUCGAUACUGCCGUGACUAGAGGUCGGUAGGGGAGUGUGGAAUUCCUGGUGUAGCGGUGGAAUGCGUAGAGAUCCGGAAGAACACCGGUGGCGAAGGCGGUUGAGCUGGGCAGUUGCUGAC
rnacentral:rRNA from 1 species